UACACAGGAGGCUCUUUUGAGCCCAGGAGUUUGAAGCUGUAAAGAGCUGUGAUUGGGGCACUGGACUGCAGCCUGGGUGACAGAGUGAGAUCGUGUCUCAAAAAAACCAAAAAAAAAGGAAAAGACCCCUUCCAACCCCACCUUACCCAGGAAGAUUCUCCAUCCCUCCCCUUUCCACCCUCCAUAAAUCAAGUAGAAGUUUCAAAUUAUUUAUUCAUUCAGCAAACAUUUCAGAGUGAGCAGUCUAGUAACAAAUAUUUGGUAGAGAAAUGGACGUAUUAUUCCAACUCACCAUGCACCAAACUUUCUGUGGCUCACUCCAUCUUUUGCCCCUCUAGGGAGCUUUGGUGAUGUGGAUCUGCCCUGGGGCAGGAAAGGGGAAGCGGAGGCCAGCGUGGUGGCUCAAGCCUGUAAUCUCAGCACUUUGGGAGGCAGAGCCAUGUGGAUCACCUGAGGUCAUGAAGUGUGGAACUGAAGUGGCAUUGGGAAGGAGGUGACCCUGAGGCAAGAUGCUCUAAGCCCUCUGUCAUGACUGCAUAAGGGCUGCUGGAGGGCGCCUUGGCUGUGCCGCAGUGUUAGUGCUGGGAAAGCGCCCACUGUUUAGCCAGCUAGGAAAGCAGACGUCCAAAAUGGCCAAGACAUCUCCUUCUUGGGGGAGUUGGGAGAAAACUCCGCUUCUCUAAGCUCUUGUGGUAGGCCUGACGGCUGUCAGGAAAACUCACGGACAUCCGGGGGACUUAAUUGUCUCUAUGUGAUGCUGGGCUUCAGUGGUCACAUCCCAUGUCUACUUUCAUGUUCUGCUUCUGUACCUGGUUCCUCUUUUUCUUAGAAGAUAAGAAUUAGUAAUAGUAACAUAAAUCUUAAUGCCCUUGAUAUUUUUGACAAGUAUGCAAAAAGUGCUGAUGCAUUAAGUUUUCUCCUCGCCUUGGUUACUUGAAAGUCCCAGGCCCCUAUCUCCAAGACAUGUGAUUUACUUGAUCCUAUCACUGACCACCAAUGCCUCGCCCUACCCACCCUGCUCCCUGCUUUGUACUCAAUAAAAUCAGGGCGUCCAGGCACUUGGGGCCACUGCCAGACUGCACUUUGUUUGGCAGUGGACCCUUGGGCCCAAAUUCUGUUUUCUCUUU